rnacentral:lncRNA from 1 species
CUUCUCGUCGACAAAUAAUACUAAUCUUGUCUAGUACCGCCUUGGUUUCACCGGCUCUCUAGUACAAGGUUAUUAUUAUUUGGCACGAUAAGCCCUUAGCACCAUAUUGAUUAGAGCGUGGUUCAUGAGGUGUGGAUUCCCCCCUCAUGAUUUAAUUGGCAUUAAUACGGAUUAUUUAGCCCAUGAUGCAUGUUGAUACGGAUCCAGAUACCCAAGUACGUCAUUUCAAUAGAAUUCUCUUCAAUUUAUUCUCGCCAUUGCAAUUCCAAUUUUAGAAUUUAUUAUCGCCAUCUCAAUUCCAAUUUUAGGAUAAUUUAAAUCAUUUCCACCACAAUUUCAACCACAUAUUUACAAAAUUAAUUCUACAUAUAAUUAAAAUUCACCUCCUCGUGGGAUCGACACUCGUCACCAUUGAUCUAUACUACAAUAGAUUCGUGCGCUUGCGAGUACAUUAAAAUUUGCACAACAAGUUUUUGGCGCCGUUGCCGGGGAGGUAAGUAAUUUUAAUUCAUAGAAUUAAUUUUUGUGAAUAAUUUCUUUUAAAUUGUUUUCUUGUAUUUUAUUUUUUUAUUAAAGAAAAAAAGAGUGAAUUUACAUUUUGAGUUAAGAAUUUUAUUUUAUUUUUCUCUUCUUUAAAAUUCUGUAAUUUAAUUUUCAAUUUAUUUUUCUUUGUAAUUUUUUUUUGUUUAUCUUAUUAAUUUAUUUUUAGUUAAUUUAUUUCACGUAUUUGUUUUUGUAUAUUUUAUAGAAAGGUUUUAAUAGCGCAAUAAGGUUAGUAUCGUAAUUUCUCCCUCUUGUUUAUUUUUAUUUGUUUUGUUCCCAUCUUUAUUUUUUAUUUUUUAUUUUAUUUGUUUUGCAUGCAUGGUCGAAGGUCAUUAUUACCCAAUCUUGAACCUAUAGACCUUGAACUUGAGAAAACACUUCGCACACACAAACAAGUAAAAAAUAAAAUGGAUUUGCAACCACAGGAGAGGCCAUUUAAGGAUUAUUUCAGUCCUUUAGCAAAUUUGAGCACAUCAUGUAUAAGAUACCCAAAUGUAGCUGCUAGGAGCUUUGAAUUAAAACCUAGUGUGCUAAAUUGUCUCCCCACAUUUUAUGGCCUAGAAAAUGAGGACCCAUAUAAUCAUCUGAAUGAUUUUCAUGCUAUUUGUCAAACUUUUAAAUACGAGAAUUUUUCAGACAAUGAUGUUAAACUUAGAUUAUUCCCAUUUUCUUUAAAGGAUAGAGCUCGUUCAUGGUUAAAUACUUUACCUGCUAAUAGCAUCACAUCAUGGGAACAAAUGGUAACUAAAUUUUUGAAUAAAUAUUUCCCAGUGCAUAAAACCAAUGCUAUUCGCAGGGAAAUCUCGGAGUUUACCCAGAGAGAGGACGAGCAAUUUUUCGAAACAUGGGAGCGAUUCAAUGGGCUACUCUUGAAGUGUCCACAUCAUGGGUACGAGAAAUGGCACCAAUGUCAAUACUUUUUGGAGGGAUUACUACCGAAUGUGCAAGAAUGGCUAAUGGCAACAAGUGGAGGAGAGCUAAUGUCAAAAAGUGCAUCAGAAAUUUGGGAAUUCUUCCAGCGACAAGCGGAUAAUUCCCAACAACGGAGUCGAUCAAUCAGGAAUACUAGAAGAAUUAAGGGAGUAAAUGAGGUUCAAAUUGGCGAGUCAACUUCGGGAAUCAAAGAAGUCAAGGAGAUGGUUGAAGGUCUUGCUCGACAAAUAGCAUCGUUAUCGACUGCUAAAUCAACAGAGCCACAUGACCAUGACUCAUACUCAGAUCAAGCCAAUGCCAUAGGUGUAAUGAGAAAAUCAUCUAAUUACAACCCAUACUCCAACACAUAUAACCCUGGAUGGAGAGACCACCCCAAUUUUUCAUGGUCUCAAGGACUCCAACAGAAUGGACCAGUAGCUCCAGCUCCACCAAUGCAACAAAUUCCUCAAGUUCCUCAAGCCUCUCAGCCCCCAUUUAGACCAUACAAUCAGAACCAGAACUACUCUCAACCCAGACCAUGGGAGGAUGCAUUCCAAAAUUUCAAGAAUGUUACUCACUCCACGAUUGAGCAACAAAACCGCACCAUUGAUGGACUACGAAAUGAGUUGAGAGCAGGCUUCAAUUCACAAGCUCAAUCAGUUUCAAGCCUUGAGAAGAUGGUGGGACAGCUUGCUUCUUCAGUUCAGACCUUGGCAAUGAUUGUUGAGAAAGGUAAGUUUCCAAGUCAACCAGUGCCUAAUCCUAAAGGAGUAUAUGAAGCAAGUACCAGUUCACCACAACAGCAUGGAGAGGUCAAAGCAGUAAUGACCUUGCGAAAAGGAAAAGAAGUCGACAACAAAGUGGAGAUGCCAGUGACAAAAGAAAAUCAAAUUGUUCCUGUGAGUGUUGAGGACUCGUCACCGGAGGAGAAAGAAGAAACCAACCCACGAGAAUAUGUUCCGAAAGCUCCAUUUCCUCAGCGGUUAGCUAAAGGCAAGAAGGGAAAAUCCACAGGUGAGAUUCUUGAAAUCUUCAAACAGGUAAGUGUUAACAUCCCUUUGCUUAAUGCUAUUAAACAAGUUCCAUCUUAUGCGAAGUUUCUUAAAGACCUUUGUAUUAAAAAGAGAAAUAUGCAUGUUCAAAAGAAGGCAUUUUUAACAGAAAACGUUAGUUCUAUACUCCAACAUAAAAUUCCUUUAAAAUGCAAAGACCCAGGCUCCCCCACUAUCUCAUGUAGUAUAGGGAACCACACAAUUGAGAAUGCUUUGUUGGAUUUAUGAGCUAGUGUAAAUUUGUUGCCUUAUUCAGUGUUUGUGAAACUUGGACUUGGAGAAUUACACCCAACUCCAGUGGUGUUACAACUCGCAGAUCGGUCCACGAAAAUACCUCGUGGUAUUGUGGAGGACGUGCUUAUCCAGGUAGACAAGUUUUAUUUUCCUGUUGAUUUCAUUGUAAUUGACACUCAACCAAUACAGGAUUCAAGGAAGCACAUCCCCAUUAUUCUAGGCCGACCUUUCUUGGCAACUGCGGAUGCUCACAUUCAAUGCAGGACUGGAAAUAUGCAGUUGUCCUUCGGCAACAUGACUAUGGAGCUGAACAUCUUCAACAUUGCCAAACAACCUCAUAAUGCAGAUGAUGGAAUUGUUGAUGUGGAUUUAAUAGAAACAAUAGUUGAUAACACUUUUCUUUCAAACCUUAGUGAUGAUCCUUUACAAACAUGUUUAACUCACUUUGGUUUGGAUUUUGAUAUUGACAGAUCGGUCGAUGAAGUCAACGCCCUGCUUGACUCAGCACCAUCUAUGGACACUAAUAAAUGAAAGUCAAGAGUUGAGCAACUAGCACCAUCAGAGAAGAAACUUAUCCCAUCAUCAGAAUCACCACCGAAACUCGAGCUCAAACCAUUACCCAACACUCUGGAAUAUGCAUUUUUGGGAGAAGAAAGUACUCUACCGGUAAUCAUCUCAUCAUCCCUAAAUGACGAACAAAAAGGUAAGUUGUUGGAUGUUUUAAAAGAGCACAAAGGAGCAUUAGGAUGGACCAUAGCAGACAUAAAAGGUAUAAAUCCAGUAGACUGCAUGCAUUACAUUCACCUUGAUGAAAAUGCUAAAUCUACUAGGGAAAUGCAACGUCGGUUAAAUCCUAAUAUGAAAGAAGUUGUUAGAACAGAAGUCCUUAAGCUAUUAGAUGCUGGUAUCAUUUACCCCAUUUCUGAUAGUUCAUGGGUCAGUCCUGUACAAGUUGUCCCUAAAAAGUCAGGAGUCACAGUAGUUACCAAUGCUGAUAAUGAAUUGAUACCCACUAGAGUAACUACAGGAUGACGUGUAUGCAUUGAUUAUAGGAAGUUGAAUUCUGUCACACGUAAAGACCAUUUUCCUUUACCAUUUAUUGAUCAAAUGCUUGAUAGAUUAGCAGGCCAUGAAUUUUAUUGCUUUCUAGAUGGCUACUCAGGAUAUAAUCAGAUUCCCAUAGCACCAAAAGAUCAAGAGAAAACUACUUUCACUUGCCCUUUUGGCACAUUUGCAUAUAGGAGAAUGCCAUUUGGAUUAUGCAAUGCACCUGCUACAUUUCAACGAUGCAUGUUGAGCAUUUUUUCUAAUAUGGUUGAACGAUUCUUUGAAGUCUUUAUGGAUGAUUUUUCUGUCUUUGGUGACUCAUUUGAUCAAUGUUUACAUCAUCUAACACUAGUUCUGCAGAGAUGUGUCAAGAAGAACUUGGUAUUAAAUUGGGAGAAAUGCCAUUUUAUGGUAAAACAAGGUAUUGUUCUCGGUCACAUCAUUUCGAGCAAAGGUAUUGAGGUUGACAAAGCCAAGGUGGAUCUCAUUUCUAAUCUUCCUCCACCCAAAACAGUCAGAGAAGUAAGAUCUUUCCUUGGGCAUGCUGGUUUCUAUAGACGUUUCAUUAAAGAUUUUAGCAAAGUUUCUAGACCCUUAUGCAAUUUACUUGCUAAGGAUGUACCUUUUAUCUUUAAUGAUUCAUGUCUUAUGGCGUUUGAAAAAUUAAAACAGUUGUUGACAUCAUCACCCAUCAUUCAGGCCCCGAACUGGAGCUUACCAUUUGAACUCAUGUGUGAUGCAUCUGAUUAUGCAGUAGGAGCAGUAUUAGGACAAAGAGUUGAUCGAAUUCCCCAUGUUAUUUAUUAUGCUAGUAUGACAUUGAAUGAUGCACAGUUGAACUAUUCAACUACUGAAAAAGAAAUGCUAGUAGUAGUGUUUGCAUUGGAAAAAUUUCGAUCAUAUCUCAUUGGUUGUAAAAUAAUUAUAUUCACGGAUCAUGCUGCUCUUAAAUAUCUUCUCACAAAGAAAGAUGCAAAAGCCAGACUAAUUCGUUGGGUGUUACUUUUGCAGGAGUUUGACUUGGAAUUCAAAGAUAAGAAAGGCACAGAGAAUGUUGUGGCGGACCAUCUCUCUCGUCUCCAUUUUGACACAAUUACAGAAUCAUUACCAUUGAAUGAGUCAUUUCCAGAUGAACAAUUAAUGAAUGUGGAAGUAUUACCUUGGUAUGCUGAUAUAGUUAAUUAUCUUGUUACAUGUAAACUUCCAGAGCAUUGGACCAAGCAAGACAAGGCUAAAUUCUUUGCAGAAAUAAAGAAUUUCUUUUGGGAUGACCCGUAUUUGUUCAAGUAUUGUGCAGACCAAAUUGUUAGACGAUGUGUCCCAGAAAGUGAAAUUCAAGAUAUCCUUUCAUUCUGCCAUGAACAAGCUUGUAGAGGCCAUUUCAGUGCUAAGAAAACAGCAACUAAAGUUUUACAAUGUGGUUUCUAUUGGCCAACUAUAUUUCGAGACGCUUACACUUUCUGUUCUUCAUGUGAUAGGUGUCAACGAAUGGGGAGCAUUACACGAAGGAACAUGAUGCCAUUAAAUCCAAUUUUAGUGGUUGAAAUUUUUGACGUAUGGGGUAUCGACUUCAUGGGACCCUUUCCCCCAUCUUUUGGCCAUCAAUACAUAUUGGUUGCUGUUGACUACGUAUCAAAAUGGGUAGAAGCAAUUCCAUGUAGGACCAAUGAUCACAAGGUGGCGAUAGCAUUUUUGAAAAGCAACAUUGUUUCACGCUUUGGAUUCCCUCGAGCAAUAAUUAGUGAUGGUGGUGCCCACUUUUGUAACAAAGCAUUCAAAGCUCUUUUGACAAAGUAUUCAAUCACACACAAAGUGACGACCCUGUAUCAUCCGCAAACCAGUGGCCAAGUUGAGAUCUCCAAUCGAGAAAUAAAGCACAUAUUAGAAAAGACGGUGAGGCCGGACAGAAAAGAUUGGUCAUUAAGACUUGAUGAUGCCUUAUGGGCAUAUAGAACGGCUUUCAAGACCCCGAUUGGGAUGUCACCCUACAGGCUAGUGUAUGGAAAAGCUUGCCACCUACCUGUGGAACUCGAGCAUCGUGCAUAUUGGGCCAUCAAGAAAUUCAAUUUUGACAUGCAGCAAGCCAGCUCAGAAAGAAGAUUACAGCUGGCAGAACUUGAAGAAAUUCGCAAUGAUGCAUACGAAAAUGCCAAGAUUUACAAGCAACGAAUGAAAGUCUUCCAUGAUAAGCAAAUUAUGAGAAAAUCAUUCACUCCAGGUCAGAAAGUGCUUUUAUUCAAUUCUCGCUUGCACCUAUUCCCAGGUAAGUUACGCUCUCGUUGGUCUGGCCCAUUUAUUGUUCAUACUGUUUUUCCACAUGGGGCAAUUGAAAUUAAGGAUCCAAAGAAUGGUGUCACGUUUAAAGUUAAUGGUCAAAGAUUAAAGCCAUAUCUAGAGUACCAACCACAUGGAGAAGACACCGAAAUAAAUUUGAGUGACCCACCAGAUUUGAAUUGAUUUUUUUUUCUCUUCUUUUCGUUGAUUUGAUUUUUUUUUCUUUAUAUUAUUCUUCUGCUAAUUGAAAUUAUUUUUGCAUAAGUGUGUUUGUUUAACUAUUAAAUUUUCUUUUAUCGUUUUUAAUCAUGAGUACCUUACUUAGACCGUUCCUUCUGAACAUUCUUAAACCACUUCAACGUGUCAAACUUCAUCUCAAAAGGCAGAUUCAAUUUUGUAAAACACAUCGCAUUUGGGCUCUACAACCACCAGAGUUAGUAGCCUAUGUUGAGGGUUUAGAAAGCCAACUCAGAGACAUUAAGAGAAGUGUUUACGACAUCCAGUUGGAGCUUGAGGUAAAUUCAAUAAGAGGACGAUUUUAAUUUUCUUUGUGUGUUUUAAUUUGUUUUUCUGUUUGUGUGCUUUAGUUUGUUACCCCGGUGAAGUGGCGGAUAACGGUACUCCGUGACAAUCAAGUCGGUUACUUCAGUUUCCCAUAAUAAUUGAUAUUCUGAGGUGAAGGUAUGGACAGAAACGAGAUUCUAGCGAAACUUCACAAGCGAUUCCCUUCACUUCCUCAGAAUGCCCUCCUUACGAUCUAUAAAGCUCGGUCCGAACGCAUGUGAUUACUCAUGAGGAAUAACAUACCUGCUGACAUCCGUUGGUUAAUCGAGGCUAAAGUACGAUCGGCAGGUGAGUUACCUCCAAAAUUUAUUGCAUACAUGCCUGGUUGUGGUAAAGGAAAUUAUGCAAGAAAACGACGAGCUCGAAGAAUUUCUGUUGCUUGUCAUAAGUGUGCCAGAAUGAGUUGCAAUAAAAACCCAUGUUCUUUAGGAAUGAUGUCUGAUAACAGGGAAGAUAAGAUUCAAUUCAUUAGGGAUGGCUUGAAUAAGGAGUCAUUGGAUGAUAUCCUUUUGUCUCUUGAAACUCAUCCCAGUGGAUAUGUGCAAGGAGCGAUUCUCCAGUUAUGGCCAUUAUUCCAGAAAGAGCAUGCACGAUAUAGUCUUGGGAAUCUGACUAUAAACGACCCUGUUUGCCAGUUUAUAAGAAAACUGGAUAGGAAGCCUAUCCUCGACCCAUAGAGGGCGUUCAAGCCGUUUCUGGACGUAAAACCAGAGGAAGAUGUGAGCCACAGUCGCAACUACCUGUAAAUAUCCUUUCCCUUUACUGUUAUUUUAUUUCACUAUUGUUUUAUUGUGUGCAUUAUUGUCUUUAAAAAUUUUAUUACUGUUUGCUUUUUCCUUAUUACUGUUUUCUUUUUUCCUUUUACUGUUUCCUUUUUGACUAGCGAGCCACAUGCUUUACGCGUUAUUUGACACUGACAUGUUACCUCAUACACAACUGUGAUCCACUGUCACCAAGAUUCUUAAAUGUGAUUUCCUUUUUGUCAAGCACUCACAAAUUGUUUUCAAGAAGUAUCACAAUGGCAGCUACUCCCAAUAGACAAUUCAAGAACAUUUGUGUGCUUUCUGGAUUUACCUAUGGCAAACAUAAAGAGUUCGUUGAGGCAGCUAUAGAUCUUGGUUGAAGCAUAGCAGCGAGAAAAUUACACUUGGUGUAUGGAGGAGGUAACCGAGGGUUAUCAAAAAUGGUCUCAGAAGCAGCUUUUAUCAGAGGAAGUCAAGUGUUAGGCAUCAUCCCAAGAGUCCUAAAACCAUUGGGCAGUUCGUCUGACUCAUCAAUUGUAGAAGAGUUAGUCGUCUCAGGUAUGCAAGAAAGAAUAACUGAAAUGCUUAAUCAUGCUGAUGCUUUUAUUUUCCUUCCAGGAGAUCUUGCAACACUAGAGGCACUUAUCACACUAGCAUCUUGGGCCCAUCUGCACAUCCACCAGAAACCCAUCGGUUUGUUAACUGUCAAUAACUUUUAUGAUGGCUUUAUCGCAUUUCUUAACCAUGCAAUAAAAAACUAUUUCAUUCAUUCUAAUGUGAAAAAACUUUUUAUUUGUGCUCACACUGCUAAUGAGCUACUUGAUCUGUUACAAGCUUAUAAAUCGGAGCCAGACCCCUGGACCUUUGUGUUGGAGCAUCCAUAUAAUGAUGGUAACAGUAGCCGCGGUAAGAAGUACAAAUUAGAUUUAACUCUCCGCUUGUAAAUAUUGUUUUCUGUGUUGCACCACCCAGGUGAUGUCUUCUAAACUCUACUUCUUUCAUUUCAAACAUUGAGGACAAUGUUUCGUUCUGGUUGGGGGGAGGGAAUAAUCGACAAUUGUGGAAUUUUGGUUAAGUUUUUACUAAUUGUUUUGUUGUAGAAACUAACUGUUGCUAACUUUUGUGUUGAAGAUGGCUGAAUAUGGAGUGUAGUGACUCUAGAAACACAUCUUCAUCGUUUUAAAAAAAAAUUAAAAAAAAAACUUAAAAAAAAAAUUCAGACAUUUUCUUUUUCUUUAUUAUGUGUUUAUGUUUAUUUUUCUUCUUUUUAAUUUCUCCUCUAUAAAUAUACAUUUUCCAACUUUUGAGUCGAAGAUGGCUGAAUAUGGAGUGUAGUUCCUCUAGAAACGCAUCUUCUUAAAAAAAAAAAAUCAUUUUCGUUUUCUAUUAUUUUACGUGUAACUUUUCUAUUUAGUUUUUAUGCAUCAUUUUCACAUUUCUGCAUGCAUAUUUUCGUUUCAUGUUUAGAAUAGGUUGGGGGAUAGAAUGUUGUUUAAAAAAAAAAAAAAACUUUUUGUGAUUUGUUUUAACAUUGGAUGACAUGAUUAAUUUCAAAUUUUAAUAUUUGUAUUAUCUUUGGUCUUAAGUGAUGUUACGCUAUGUUUGCUACUUUACAUGUUGAUGUCGGAGACAAAUGUGAGUUGCUUGAAGGAAUGAACAUGUCAUAAUAAGUACCAAGUGAGUUUUUGAGCCUAUUAUUUUUCUUGGAGAAUAACCCUUUUGCCUACUCUUUAUACAGCUCAGCAGUUUAUUAUUUUACACACGAUCUCUAAAUUGCUUUUGAGUUAACCCUUAAAACAAAAUUGUAAAAUAAAAAAAAAGAAAAAAAGAGUGUGUUGCUACAUUUGGAGGCCCAUCUAACUAGUAGAUAUGGAAGAUUAUUUAGAGCCCUAAAAGACGAUGGAAAGACCAUCUUUGAUCCGUUUGAGCCUUUCUAGCCAUCCCUUUUAUCAAAUAUCCAUAGUUAACCCUUUUGAGCCUUUAAAAAAAAAAAAAACCUUUUUCUUUGUCAACUUAUCAUCUUGACCCACUCCAAUUUGGAGUAUUACCCAAUGUCUUAUAAGUUACAUCACCUAUUUAUGUUUGAGAAAAUGUAAAUAAUUAUGUUGUUCAGUAAAGUUAUGCCAAAAAAAAAUAAAAAAUAAAAGUUGUUGUUUCAAAAGAAAAAAAAAUAAAAAUAAUAGGUGAAAUCCACCUUGCAACGUCCAAAAAAAAAAAAAAUCUCUGCAUUUUUCUCAAACAUACACUUUGUUUUCCUUAUUUUCCUUCUUUGUUAGCCAUGUCCCUAGCCUACGUUACGUCCUAAUAAAAGUCCUUGAUUUUAGGGAACUAUAGUUUGAAGUAGAAGCUAGUUAUAUGGGCUAAAAAGAUGUAGUGAUGCAGAAUAAAAAAAAAAGAAGAUAAAUAAAGUGGGUUGACUAGCAUUUUUAUUUGACUUGAGUUCGUAUUAUUUAUAAACUGAGGGCAUAUUUAUUUCAUCUUGGUGAGAGCAUGUGAUAUCACUUCUUUAUUAUUUUCUCUCUCAAUUACCAUUCAUUGGAGUGACUAUUUUUAUUGGUUUUAAUUUCUUUGUGAGAGUGUCACUACUUCCAGUGAGAUUUUGGGGUUUGACAUGUCAUUCUUGAAAGUAGCUAUGACAAAGUCUACUGGGCUGAUUCAUGUGGAUGGUUGAUGUGGGUGUGAUGUUGCUUUAGACUGGAGAUAAUGCUUAUACUUUUAUUUGAUUGCCAUCAUUAAUCUGACGGAAUAAAUACGAGUGUUUCUAUUAAAAAAAAAUAUUUUGAAUUUGAAUUUUGUUUUCGCUUUAUUUGCUAGGGACUAGCAAUAAGCUGGUUGGGGGGUGUUUGAGUGUUAGAAAAUGCAUAUUUAUAAAGGAGAAAACCGUCAUUUUACAUUUCAAGUCUGACUAACAACCCUUACUUUUAUGUAUUUAACCUUAUUGUGAUUUAAUUAUAUGUGUUUUAUUUUAAUUAAGUAUUUUAUGUAUUUUAGGGGCAUUAUAGUCAUUUUACAAUAAAAGAGAGAUCAGACGGCAAAACGGACAUCAGUUUUGAACUCAGGACGGUCGAAAACCUUAGGAGGAGCAUAAAAGGAAAAAUGACACUAUUCAUAUGUACGGUACUAUUCACGUGUACGGUACUAACUACGUUACUGUUCACAGCACUGUUCACAUAGACGGAUCGAUGACGUGGCAUUGACCGAUGAUGUGGCAUUGACUGAUGAGGUGUCACGAUCCUGUUGGGCUAAAAUUCUUAUGUACUGUUGAUGGUGACGUGGCAGCAUAUCAGUGGAUGAAAAAUCUCGCGUACGGUACAUGCAUCACACAGGAUUAUUUUCAACCAAACCGCGUUACUGUUCAUCCAAGUCAAACCGUGUUACUGUUCAUCCGAGUCAAACCGUGUUACUGUUCAUCCGCGUGGUCAAACCGUGGACUGUUGACUGAUGACGUGGCGCAAUCCUGAGCGUCAAAACUGUUUUUAAUCCGAUGGCCAUGAUUUACUCCAUGUAUCUAUAAAAAGGGGGCCUCCCCCCUUAAUUUGAUAUCUCUGAAUCCAUUUUUGGGAUCCAUUUUCUGUAAUUCCUUCUCCAUCUUGUAUUUUCUUUGUAUUUUAAUAAAUUCCCAUUUUGCCCCUAGUUCAAUUAUGAGUGGCUAAUUUUCUUUCAAGCUUGGAUUGAAGGUGAGGUCUCAACAUGUGUCAUGAGCUUAAUUUGGUAAAUUUAUUUUCUCUUCCCCUCUAGUUUUUGUAGAUGUUUUGACUUCUCGUCGACAAAUAAUACUAAUCUUGUCUAGUACCGCCUUGGUUUCACCAGCCCUCUAGUACAAGGUUAUUAUUAUUUGGCACAAUAAGCCCUUAGCACCAUAUUGAUUAGAGCGUGGUUCAUGAGGUGUAGAUUCCCCCCUCAUGAUUUAAUUGGCAUUAAUACGGAUUAUUUAGCCCAUGAUGCAUGUUGAUACGGAUCCAGAUACCCAAGUACGUCAUUUCAAUAGAAUUCUCUUCAAUUUAUUCUCGCCAUUGCAAUUCCAAUUUUAGAAUUUAUUAUCGCCAUCUCAAUUCCAAUUUUAGGAUAAUUUAAAUCAUUUCCACCACAAUUUCAACCACCCAUUUACAAAAUUAAUUCUACAUAUAAUUAAAAUCCACCUCCUCGUGAGAUCGACACUCGUCACCAUUGAUCUAUACUACAAUAGAUUCGUGCGCUUGCGAGUACAUUAAAAUUUGCACAACAGUUGUAAGAUGAAGUUAUUUUACAUAUUUUUGCACUCCCUCAACAACCCUAAAUGGUCUCUAAAUAUAAGUAAAAUGUUUGAAACUACAUAAAGUAUGCAUAAUACUUAAAAUUAGAUAUA